AGAGUUUGAUCCUGGCUCAGAACGAACGCUGGCGGCAGUAACACAUGCAAGUCGAACGCUCCGCAAGGAGAGUGGCAGACGGGUGAGUAACACGUGGGAACGUACCCUUUACUACGGAACAACUCCGGGAAACUGGAGCUAAUACCGUAUGUGCCCUUCGGGGGAAAGAUUUAUCGGUAAAGGAUCGGCCCGCGUUGGAUUAGCUAGUUGGUGGGGUAAAGGCCUACCAAGGCGACGAUCCAUAGCUGGUCUGAGAGGAUGAUCAGCCACAUUGGGACUGAGACACGGCCCAAACUCCUACGGGAGGCAGCAGUGGGGAAUAUUGGACAAUGGGCGCAAGCCUGAUCCAGCCAUGCCGCGUGUGUGAUGAAGGCCUUAGGGUUGUAAAGCACUUUCACCGGAGAAGAUAAUGACGGUAUCCGGAGAAGAAGCCCCGGCUAACUUCGUGCCAGCAGCCGCGGUAAUACGAAGGGGGCUAGCGUUGUUCGGAAUUACUGGGCGUAAAGCGCACGUAGGCGGAUAUUUAAGUCAGGGGUGAAGUCCCAGAGCUCAACUCUGGAACUGCCUUUGAUACUGGGUAUCUUGAGUAUGGAAGAGGUAAGCGGAAUUGCGAGUGUAGAGGUGAAAUUCGUAGAUAUUCGCAGGAACACCAGUGGCGAAGGCGGCUUACUGGUCCAUAACUGACGCUGAGGUGCGAAAGCGUGGGGACAAACAGGAUUAGAUACCCUAGUAGUCC
rnacentral:rRNA from 1 species